AUACCUUUCUCGGCCUUUUGGCUAAGAUCAAGUGUAGUAUCUGUUCUUAUCAGUUUAAUAUCUGAUACGUGGGCCAUCGGCCCACAUGAUAUUAAAUUAAUUUUUUUCUUGGGUGAGGGUCCACUACAGUAGCUUGCUAUUGGGACUCUCAAGCGUCGCCCAUGCUUUGCACUACUGCAAGGGCCUGGCGCAACCCCC
rnacentral:snRNA from 1 species